AUGCUGCUUGUGGCACGCAGCCUCCUUCCAGGCGCCGCCCCUGCCACCGACUCCACCUUGUACCUACCUGUGCGGCAGCAGCUGGACAGCGACAACAUCGCGGCUCCCCAGCUGGGCAGACGAAAGCGCAUGCGCAAGCGGCCUGUCACAAGCGCCAGCGCUGAGCCCGGGCUCGCGUCACAGGAACAGCCACCGUUGCCUGGGGAACGAUCACAGUGGCUUCCCAAAGCAGCGGUCCUCUGUGGCAGUGCCUCAGCAUCGGGCAACGGACUCUUUCUCCGCGCGAUCAUCGCUGAGUCCUGCGAUUUUAGGAAUCCGGCAGGCCGAACCAGGCAGAAGAAAGAUCUGUCGGGGCUUCACGGAUGUCCACGGCGCUCCCCAGGAAUCACCAAGUUGCUGCAGACCUGCCCAAACAGUGUGAGGGUGCCUCUCGUUGAAAGCCCUCUCGGCUGGGAUUUCCAGAAGGAGAGACAGAAAGAAAGAAACAAAAAUCAAGGAGAGGAAGACCGAGGAAGAAAAAGAGGGAGAAGAGGAAUGUUGUUUUAUUCUAAAAAUGGCUAAUUUCCAAGUAGCAUUGAACCACCAUGCCAAAAUGAAGUAACGUCUUAGAGAUCUUCAGAGUAUCACAGGCAUAGAAGCAAAAAGAAACCUUGGAAAUGUGGAGGCACCAUUCUUCUCCAUUGUCCCCUUAAAGGUAUUCAUUUACCUGUCUUGAACCUGCGCAUGGUGAAAGGCAUGUGUGAAAGAGUUAGUUAGCUGUUUGCAUUAGUUAGUUAAUUAAUUAUCUCUUUGCAUAUUUAUACCCAUAUUUCUAAAUAAGUCAUUUUAAAAAUGUUGAUUUUCUAUUAUGAUUAAAAAAUUUAACUGAAAAAUCGAGAGAGAAGGAAAGAGAAAGAAGAAAGAGAAAAAAUGAGGGAAAUAAAAAGAGAAGGAAAGAUGGAGGGAAUGAAGGA
rnacentral:lncRNA from 13 species